rnacentral:rRNA from 1 species
AAACAUGUCUUUUUGAUUUAAAUUUAAAGUCUAGCCUGCCCACUGAAUUAAUUUUAAAUGGCCGCAGUAUUUUGACUGUGCAAAGGUAGCAUAAUCAUUAGUCUUUUAAUUGAAGACUGGAAUGAAUGGUUGGACGAGGUAUGAGCUGUUUCAUAUAAAUUUAUUAUAGAAUUUUAUAUUUUAGUUAAAAAGCUAAAAUUUUAUUAAAAGACGAGAAGACCCUAUAAAUCUUUAUAUUUAAUAUUAUUUAAAUUUUUUGGAUUUAUUUUAUUUUUAUAUAAUUAAAUAUUUUGUUGGGGUGAUGUUAAAAUUUAAUGAACUUUUAAUUAUUUAGAAUCAUUAAUUUAUGAAUUAUUGAUCCAUUAGUAUUGAUUAUAAGAUUAAGUUACUUUAGGGAUAACAGCGUAAUUUUUUUUAAGAGUUCAUAUCGACAAAAAAGUUUGCGACCUCGAUGUUGGAUUAAGAAUAAUUUUGGGUGUAGCUGUUCAAAUAUUAAGUCUGUUCGACUUUUAAAUUCUUACAUGAUC